rnacentral:miRNA from 1 species
CGGGCGAGGGUGUGGGUGUGGCG